UGUAGGUGUGUUAGUUAGCGUCUGCAUUCUGAUUGGCUGAGCUGAGUGAUGUCACAUAUUUACUCAAAAAUUAAAACAAUAAUAUUCAUAUAACAACGUGAAUUGAGAAUUUAUCAAAGUGGUGGAUGAUAUAUCUCUCUUCAAUGUAAUGGUCUGGUCAAGGGAUAUCGACUCUUAAGGCGAGAUCCAAUGAACAAGUGUUUCACUCGGUUGGUCUCAUCUCCUUUAAUGGAAAGAUUGUUCAUUGUGCAGAUCUCCCACGGAAUCAUCGUAUACUUCUACAUAUAAGAACUAAGGAAUUCCAUAAAACGAAAGAAUAAUUGACUGUGAUACCCAGUGAGGAGCAGGCAGAGUUAUCAUCCUCCACCCACAGUUCCUUCUUUGAAAUUAUUGAAAGUCAACUAUGCUUCGUCUCCUACUCAAAGAAAACUAUAAAAGAAAUCUGUGGAACAUGAUUCUAGACUUACUAAAGAUAAUGUGCUUCUCUUUUCUCGAUAUUUUGGUCUGCAAAUCAUAUUCUACUCUGCUAUUACAUAUAAAUAGUUAUUCGGAACUGUUAAGUAAUUAUUUGUUUUACAAAAAAAUAUAACAAA
rnacentral:lncRNA from 1 species